AGGGAACACUUUGAUUUCAGCCUUGUGAGACCCUAAACAGAGAACCGAGUUGAGCCAUGCCAGACUUCUGACCCACAGAAAUGCCUCAGCUGUGGUGGGAGGCCCCAGCGUCCCGCGGACCUGGUGGUGUACAGCGGAUGCCAGUGGUAAAUGGUGAAGCAUGCUCAGCAAGACUGCUCUGGCCUGCCGAAGCCCCUGCUCCUGCAAUGUCCUCCAGCGCUUACCCCAGAAGGCAGGGCAAGUGUAGGGUCAGCUGGCUCGCCUCCCUCACUGAUCAUCCUUUGUGGCAGUUGUCCAAUGUCUGAGAAGCUGCUUCCCACAACUUUUUUCCUGGCUUCGUGGAACACGGAUAGUCAAUCUUUUGGUCAUCUACUUACCUCUGAAGGUGUGGGGCCCACUGGGUGUUCAGGGCUCCAGCUGUGGACCAACCAUCACAGAAUACAGCAGGACGAUCACUGCCUGCUUUCCAGAUACUACCCCUCCAGUCUCCGGCAGGGUUUAUAGAGAUAAGUGGGUGAUCAAUGUUUACCGUACAAUGUCCUGUCCGUACCACUAUUAAACAGAAUUGCACUUAUUUCGCAUGUUACCAUAUAAGGUAGUUUUUGGAAAAGGAUAAAUGACCUCCUAAUUCCUUGAGGAGUUUAUUGUGCACUGUUUCCCACAAUCGAAAUGAGAACAAUAAUGAGGCAGCCUGGCUAGAGCUCUACAUUAUUGAGUGACCAUUUGGAAGUCAUUUUUGGUCCUGUUAUUUAAGCCACUGCAAUUCAUACAUCUUCUGAGAGGAGAGAGGUGAGUAGCCAAGGAAGGACUUCUAUAGCUUUUCAUGAGCUAUUUUUAUAAAUUACUGUCUCAGUUAAACAUUUUUUUCCUUUCAGAUGAACAAAGAACAUGACAGAGAAAGAAUUGUUCUACUUAUAACUCUAAGCAUUUACUAAAAAAACUUAAUAUCUUGGCAACAUUUCUUUUUUUAAGUUAACAAAUGUGCAGACUCUCUUUAUCCCAGGUGUGCUCUGACUCAGUGUCUGGGACAAGUAGCCCUGCCCAGCAGAAUGCUGGAAGAUGCCAAUCAUCCCUCAGCCACAACUGAUAGCUACCCAGUGUCAGUCCCUGGGACACAGGGCUCAGCGUGAUGGGAGUGCCAGCAGCAGCUGAGUGCCCGUGCCCUGCAGGAUGGAGAUCCACUCCGACAAAGCCUCCAGGCCCCCCCACAUUCCACACCACAGAACUCUCUCAAAAAACUUCAGAGAAGCAGGAACAACUUGGUAUUCAAUGAAAAUACCUCGCAAAUAAAUAUCUGCAAACACUUUGUAAAGUCAGAGUUUUCUGCAAGCAGCCGCCUUGGUUGUGAUUCUCCGCUGGGUCCUCCAGGAGUCUGUGCAGUGGAAAGAGCACCGGCUUUGCAGUCAGGCAAUUUUUGCUCUUUUGUCUAUUUAGCCACGAGAGCUGGAGAAAAUAAUUCCCAUGGGAUACAGUUUCUUCAUUUAUAAAAUAUGAACAAUUAUAGCUACCUAGCAAGGCUGUCAGGAGAAUCACAGCGUACACGGGUCUGUAUAGUUUUACAGUACCAGGAUCUUUCUCUUUAAAAUGUUCACGGAAGUGAUUCCCAAAGUGUAAUUUCCCAACCUGGUGGUUCUUGAGGGCCUCCUGGAGGGGUGAGCAUUUUCAACGCAAUAUUUUUCGCCUGUUCAUCCUCCGGCAGUGACAGUGGCCCACAGGCUAAGCUAUGCCUGUGACGGAAGCUUCUACUUCAAGUGCCUAAUUGCUGAUAUUUGACUUUUUUAAAAAAAAUGCCAAUUUGAUCAACUUAAUAUUGAGAAGAAAACAAAGAUAGGAGUGGGUCGUUGACUACUACAAAAAAGCAAUAAAAGAUGUCUUGUUUCUCCAUUUCCUUAUGUUGUUCUUCCCUGUAUCUUUUGCUUUCUUCUUCAGUGCUUCUCAUAAAAUGAAGAGUAAGAGAAGCUUGUGUGGAAGGAUGAAUCAUGGAAGAUUUUUUUGUGGCAAGUAGGAACAAUUGGUUCUUUU
rnacentral:lncRNA from 1 species